GGGAAAGUGGGAAAAAGAAUUUACGGUUCUUCUACUUUGAAACCAUAAUUUCCACUUUCACUGCUUCUUUUAAUCCGUUGGUCGCCAGUUCGAAUCUGGCACGGCCUACCA
rnacentral:tRNA from 1 species